rnacentral:rRNA from 1 species
GGACUACCGGGGUAUCUAAUCCUGUUUGCUCCCCACGCUUUCGUGCCUGAGUGUCAGUGCUGAUCCAGGGUGCCGCCUUCGCCACUGGUGUUCCUCCCGAUCUCUACGCAUUUCACCGCUACACCGGGAAUUCCACACCCCUCUAUCGCACUCUAGCUUGCCAGUAUCCACUGCCAUUCCCAGGUUGAGCCCGGGGCUUUCACAGCAGACUUAACAAACCACCUACGCACGCUUUACGCCCAGUAAUUCCGAGUAACGCUUGCACCCUUCGUAUUACCGCGGCUGCUGGCAC